rnacentral:lncRNA from 1 species
AAGCUCCCCCACUGAGCACCUUGCGACCCCCACUCCUGCCCACCAGAGAACAAACCCCCUUUGACUGUAAUUUUCCUUUACCUGCCCAAAUCUUACAAAAUGGCCCCACCCCUAUCUCCCUUCGCUGACUCUCUUUUCGGACUCAGCCCACCUGCACCCAGGUGAAAUAAACAGCCAUGUUGCUCACAAAAAAAAAAAAAAAAAGAAAUGCACUUGUACACAUGUGU